GCCCUUAGAAGAGGUACCAAAAAUGAAAAUUAAUGUUUACGAAUAAAUCACAUAGAGAUGUUUCUAAUUAAAAUGUAAAAUCCAUCGUUGAUAAGAUUAGCUGACCCAGCGACCUCCUUACGAUCAUUCAAUGUUUCGGCGACCUUAUUAAAAUGUCGUGUUAAUUGUGUAGGCAAAGCAGAGAAGAAAUUUGUCGAAAGAAAUUCCCCUCAUGUGAUGGUUUGGUCCGUCCGCCUGUCUGUCUGUUCCUGGUUUCUCGGCUCACUCCAGAACGAAAUGAAACUGCGAUGUCAAACCGUAGCCAAUCGAUUUCUACGAGUUCAAGAAUCGGUGUUACUGAAGAUGAGGCGGAUUAAAAGUCGUGUUUCCGAAUGCGAGCCAAGUGUCAAAAAAUUCCCCUAUAGGUACUGAAAAUGGUAUGCGAUUCUUGAGGGUGACUUCCAAACGAAACACGUUGGACCCUCGGUUAGGAAAAAGUGCUUGAUCUCCUCUACCGCCUAAUUUGUAACACCCUAUAUAUACUGAAGAAUAUACUAUAAACCAAUACCAAUAAAAAAUAGAAUUAAAGAAAA